rnacentral:lncRNA from 1 species
AAAUGAGAAUCAGCACUGCAGGAGGGACCUCCAUAGGAGCCAGGGGAUGGAUGCUUACAAGGGGAGAAAUCCAGAAAUCCUGUGAACUAGUUUGACAGAAAGAGUCCAAAUUUUGGGAUGACUAUCUGGAUCCUAUUGCAGAUAUCUUGAAGACCGCAGCAGGCUGGGUCUGGGUAAAAGAAGUGUGACUUUGAAGAUACUUGCCUUCCCCCAAUUCUCCCACAGUGGUCUAUUCUAGGCCUGCUCCUUGUUCUAGAUGUUUAUCUAAGCUUUCCCCUUUCCAAGCCAACCCCCAGAAAUAA